rnacentral:lncRNA from 1 species
GAAAGGUUCAGGCAUUAUGCUGGCCUGCCCCUGUUACCUGGUGGAAUCCACUCAGGCAAUACCCUGGUCAGCCCAAGGUUCCAUGGGAAAGAAGUCUGCACACAGGUGCAGAGGACCCCUUUAAAAGAUAGGCCCCUGCACCUUUCUCUCUCUCUCUCUGCCCCUUUACGCUCGCGCUCUCUCUCUCUCCCCCUGUUCCUGCUCUCUGUCCCCUCUCUCUGUUUCCCCGCUCUCUCUCUCUAUGGCGACCGGCCAUGGCGGUCAGCCAUUACCCUGUUCCUCUUCUUAGUCUCCCCAUUCUACCGGGCCUUAUAAUAAACUUAUAAUCUUAUGUCCAUCUCAAUAUUUCUCUUCUUUUUAAACAAAAGAAUAACAUUUGGCGCCCAACGUGGAAAGGCUCUGCCCUUAUACCUUCUGCGACCUGCUGGCGGGCGCAUGUUAGGCUAAGGGUAACCUUACAAUCCACUUCCAUCUCCGCUUUUCCUGGCACUCCCUCCUGCCUGCAACAGCCUGAGAUGCCGGAACUCAACUUGCGGCUUUUCCAACUAAGUAUUUCUGGAACUCACUGAUCUGCCUAUUCGCUACAAUCCGGUCUAAGAGGCGCCAGGGAGUUCCAUACAGCCUGGACUACAAUGAAACAACCAGCUUCCCCAGGACGUGGCAGCACCCCAACCUUCUUGGGUCCCCCAAAGAUGGUCAACGCCCCCCAUGUCAGCAGGAAGCAGUCUUAAGAAUUCGACGCCCUUAUUCCUUAACCUGCCAUGUCUAAACACCCCACCUUUUUUUAAUAAUAAGUAGAGGUGGGAAUGAAAGGUUCAGGCAUUAUGCUGGCCUGCCCCUGUUACCUGGUGGAAUCCACUCAGGCAAUACCCUGGUCAGCCCAAGGUUCCAUGGGAAAGAAGUCUGCACACAGGUGCAGAGGACCCCUUUAAAAGAUAGGCCCCUGCACCUUUCUCUCUCUCUCUCUGCCCCUUUACGCUCGCGCUCUCUCUCUCUCCCCCUGUUCCUGCUCUCUGUCCCCUCUCUCUGUUUCCCCGCUCUCUCUCUCUAUGGCGACCGGCCAUGGCGGUCAGCCAUUACCCUGUUCCUCUUCUUAGUCUACCCAUUCUGCCUUAUAAUAAACUUAUAGUCAAUAUGUCUGUCUCAACAAUAUUUCUCUUUUCUUCUUUUUAAACAAAAGAAUAACAGGUACAAACUAAGUACAUGUGUGUAUGUGUGCAUUAUUGUUACUUUUCCUACCAUACUGGGCUUGAACCUUACGCUUCCUGCAUGCCAGACAAGCGCUCUACCACUGAGAUAUAAC